ACGAGUAUGCUGAAACUUGGUAGACAGGUGAGUUUUAGGAACUCAUGAUAAAAAUAAAUCGUAAGAGUUCAAGUCUCUUUACUCGUA
rnacentral:tRNA from 1 species